AUUGAACGCUGGCGGCAUGCUUUACACAUGCAAGUCGAACGGUAACAGGCCGCAAGGUGCUGACGAGUGGCGAACGGGUGAGUAAUGCAUCGGAACGUGCCCAGUCGUGGGGGAUAACGCAGCGAAAGCUGCGCUAAUACCGCAUACGAUCUAUGGAUGAAAGCGGGGGACCGAAAGGCCUCGCGCGAUUGGAGCGGCCGAUGUCAGAUUAGGUAGUUGGUGGGGUAAAGGCUCACCAAGCCAACGAUCUGUAGCUGGUCUGAGAGGACGACCAGCCACACGGGGACUGAGACACGGCCCAGACUCCUACGGGAGGCAGCAGUGGGGAAUUUUGGACAAUGGGCGCAAGCCUGAUCCAGCAAUGCCGCGUGCAGGAAGAAGGCCUUCGGGUUGUAAACUGCUUUUGUACGGAACGAAAAGGCUCUGGUUAAUACCUGGGGCUCAUGACGAUACCGUAAGAAUAAGCACCGGCUAACUACGUGCCAGCCGCCGCCGUAACAC
rnacentral:rRNA from 1 species